AACGAACGCUGGCGGCGUGCCUAACACAUGCAAGUCGAACGCGAAAGGGGGCAACCCCCGGUAGCGUGGCAGACGGGUGAGUAACACGUGGGCAACCUACCCGGAGGUGGGGGAUAACCCUUCGAAAGGAGGGCUAAUACCGCAUGACAUCGCGGGGACCUCGGUCCUUGCGAUCAAAGCUGGCCUCUGUUUACAAGCUAGCGCCACCGGAUGGGCCCGCGCCCCAUUAGCUAGUUGGUGAGGUAACGGCUCACCAAGGCGACGAUGGGUAGCCGGCCGUAGAGGGCGAUCGGCAACACUGGAACUGCGACACGGUCCAGACUCCUACGGGAGGCAGCAGUGAGGAAUAUUGCGCAAUGGGCGAAAGCCUGACGCAGCGACGCCGCGUGAGCGAUGAAGGCCUUCGGGUUGUAAAGCUCUGUGGGGAGGGAAGAAUAAGGUCAGGUCAAUACCCUGAUUGAUGACGGUACCUCCUUAGCAAGCACCGGCUAACUCUGUGCCAGCCGCCGCUGUAAAAC
rnacentral:rRNA from 1 species